UACGGGGGGGGCAAGCGUUGUUCGGAAUUACUGGGCGUAAAGCGCGCGUAGGCGGCUUUUCAAGUCGGGCGUGAAAGCCCCGGGCUUAACCCGGGAAUGGCGCUCGAUACUGUUGAGCUAGAGUGUGGAAGGGGCUACUGGAAUUCCGUGUGUAGCGGUGAAAUGCGUAGAUAUCUGGAGGAACACCGGUGGCGAGGGCGGCAUCCUGGACCGGCAUUGACGCUGAGGCGCGAAAGCCAGGGGAGCAAACGGG
rnacentral:rRNA from 1 species